ACGAACGCUGGCGGCGUGCUUAACACAUGCAAGUCGCACGGAAAGGCCCUGCUUUUGUGGGGUGCUCGUGUGGCGAACGGGUGAGUAACACGUGAGUAACCUGCCCUUGACUUUGGGAUAACUUCAGGAAACUGGGGCUAAUACCGGAUAGGAGCUCCUGCUGCAUGGUUGGGGUUGGAAAGUUUCGGCGGUUGGGGAUGGACUCGCGGCUUAUCAGCUUGUUGGUGGGGUAGUUGCUUACCAAGGCUUUGACGGGUAGCCGGCCUGGGAGGGUGACCGGCCACAUUGGGACUGAGUUAGGGCCCAGAGUCCGACGGGAGGCAGAGGUGGGAAAGUUAGCGCUAUGGGAGGAACGCUAAUGCAGCAAGACCGCGUGCGGGAUGACGGCCUUCGGGUUGUAAACCGCUUUCGCCUGUGAGGAAGAGUGAGUGACGGUAAUGGGUAAAGAAGCACCGGCUAACUACGUG
rnacentral:rRNA from 1 species